rnacentral:lncRNA from 1 species
AGCUGGCAGCGUACAGCUAUCUGGUUUCUUUUGGUCUAAGGAAAGAUUGCCAUCUAUUGGAUGACCUUGGAAACGAAUGGGUUUUUACUAUGUAUGUAAUCUGUAAUUCAAAAAAAUAAUAAUAAAAAAAAAAAAAUAAAAAUAAUAAAACACACACACACACAAAGAAAAGUACCAUAAUGAAAUUGAAGACUUUGAACUUAAAUAGUAUACAUUAUGAUCAUGAAACAGGAGAACAACUGCCAUCGUCUCAAAACUGAGAUUUUAAAUUCCAGAAUAAUUUACAUUAUAUGAAAGCAAUAGCUAUUUGCUUUAGAAUGAACUAAAUACUGAAUGUCUGUAUAUACAGUAAUAUUUGCUAGCAGUUUAAAUGUUUUGCAGAAUACUGAAUCCAAGUUUCUUUAUUUAACUUUACUGAAAUAUAAGGAAAGAGUUUUAAACCAGGUUUUAAUAUAUUUGUAGCAUAUAUUCCUCUCAAGAUUUGGGAACAGAAUGAUGCUCUUCUCCUGCAAACAAUAUUUGUCCAGCUUUCACAGACUGUUGCACUGCAUUACAUUUAAAACAAAGAUAUCGCUUGGCUUGGGUUUAAAAUGUAAUGCUUUUUUUUUUUUUUCAUAUAUAUCUUUCAGCCCAAGAACUUGCCAGUCAAGAUGAAAAACUUCUUCUAAUGGAAUCCAGCUUGAAAGCAACUCAAGAGCAGCUAAGUGAGCAAAUAGCAGAAACAGUUCACCAAGAACAGAACAGUAGAAAAUCACAGACAGAGCUGAAGACCCUGAGAGAACAUAUUAUAACAUCUGAAGAAGAAAUUAGUGAUUACAAGACGGCACAAUGAUAUGCCAUGAUAUUACCAUCCUGCCAAUAGAGGAAGAUAGAUCAACAUGGACGAUCAACACCAUCUUGCUGAAAUGGAUGAGAGCAAGCACAGGCUUUUUGGCUAAUAGGUACGAACUGAAACUUUGAAAAUAAGUACAAUCCCUAAUGUAUGAAACUUAAACUUGACAUAAAAUAUAAUGUUCACUUGCUUAUAAUUUUCAGAGUUGUAUUGUAUGCCUAUGCAUCUAUGAGGACAACAGUCUGUGAUAGCAUGUGAAAUUUUAAAUAUUUUUUUAAUCAAGGAAAAUGUCCUGUUCUUGUUCUUGAAUUCUUUCAAUAUUUUACUCAGAAAUUUGUAUGGAAAGGACUCGUUGUCUGUCAUUUUUGUCAGUAAAAGCCAUUCUUCUAAAACCCAGAGCUGCUUCUUUCAUUUCCUUUUGCUUGUUUAUUUUGCAUGUAUUGUUCUGCUUUAGAAGAUGUCAUGGUUCUUUAUGAUUUUUUAAAGUUAAUUCAUUUAAAUUCUUUUGCAGUUUUCUUUCAGAUGGAUAUUUUAGUCAUCAGAGUUCAUAGUGGCAAUAUGAGUUCUUUUUCAAAAUCUGGCAACCUCAAGGCCCUUAAAGACUCUAAAAAUCCUUAAUGCCUUUAACCAGAAGUUAUUUUCAGUAUUUCCAGGGAUCUGUCUUUACAUCCUGAUUUGUAGAAUAAUUCUUGGUAGAUGGUUCCAUGAGUCUUACAAGUCAGGUAGUGAAUUUGAAGUACAAACUUUUAUCAUAGGACAUGACAAUAUUAAGUCCAUCCUUGUCAUUACAGAUUUCUCAGGAGAAUUGAAUGUUCUGUGGUAGACAUAUUGUUGAACAUUAUUUGAAUCCAAUUUUUCUGAAUGACUUUGCUUCUUUCUUUGCAGCUACAAAGCAAAAUUUAAUCUGUGGAUUUUAUGGCACAAAAAUUUCUUAUAUAACGUUGUCAGAUUUGUUAUAUUAAAUUUAACCAAACGUCUGUUUAUCUAAAAAGCAAACAAAAAACAAAAAAUAGAAAAUAUAGUAACACCCCCCAAAAAAAUACAAUAACCCUCCCCCAAGGGGAAAAAAAAAAAAAAAAAAGACAAAAAAGAUAAUAUUUCUUAAGGUUUUUUUUUUUGUUUGUUUGUUUGUUUGUUUGUUUUUUAGUUAUUAUUCAUUGUUCUUCUUUACUUCUGAGUAUGUUAAGCCACUUUUGCCAUAAUUUUAUCCAUCUAUUUGGAUGAGAACUUUCUUCAUCUGUAACCAUUACCCUGACUCUUCAUGUUUGGCUUGCAGAAAUACUAGCUCCCCAUUUAUUGAUACAUCUACAUCAUAGUAAAUUUGCUGUUUUUUCAUUGUUAAUGAAAAACAAGAGUUUAAAAACCUUCCACUUUUUCUGUUGCCAGAUUUAAGUGUACUUACUUAAGUUUGCUUAUACCAGUGGCUAAACAAGAAGUAAUAAAGUAUUUAUAUUUACUGCCCA